AUACGUAGGGUGCAAGCGUUAAUCGGAAUUACUGGGCGUAAAGCGUGCGCAGGCGGUUCUGUAAGACAGAGGUGAAAUCCCCGGGCUCAACCUGGGAAAUGCCUUUGUGACUGCAAGGCUAGAGUACGGCAGAGGGGGAUGGAAUUCCGCGUGUAGCAGUGAAAUGCGUAGAUAUGCGGAGGAACACCGAUGGCGAAGGCAAUCCCCUGGGCCUGUACUGACGCUCAUGCACGAAAGCGUGGGGAGCAAACAGGAUUAGAUACCCUGGUAGUCCACGCCCUAAACGAUGUCAACUGGUUGUUGGGUCUUCAUUGACUCAGUAACGAAGCUAACGCGUGAAGUUGACCGCCUGGGGAGUACGGCCGCAAGGUUGAAACUCAAAUGAAUUGACGGGG
rnacentral:rRNA from 1 species